rnacentral:rRNA from 1 species
UAACACGUGGGUAACCGUGCCCGGAAGUGGGGAAUACCUCGGGGAAACUCGAGCUAAUACCGCAUGACAUCUUUGGGACGAAAGUCCUGACGAUCAAAGCGGGGUCGCAAGAUCUCGCGCUACCGGAUGGGCCCGCGCCCGAUUAGCUAGUUGGUGAGGUAACGGCUCACCAAGGCUUCGAUCGGUAACCGGCCUGAGAGGGCGAUCAGCCACACUGGGAUUGAGAACGGCCCAG